GGGUUUACGUUCUUUACCGUCAUCAUCUACAUCUACAAUUCAUUGAAUCCAUUCCUCAAGUUCACAUAUCGCUUUACAAUCUGUAUUUCAUAUGGCUGAAAGUUCAUCAAGUUUCAGGGGACCCUGCUUCUGUAGGCACAUGAAUAAAGCAGACGAGUUUAUUAUG